rnacentral:tRNA from 1 species
GGGCGAUUAGCUCAGGUGGAUAGAGNNUUGGUCUCCGGAACCAAAGGCCGGGUGUUCGAGUCACCCAUCGCCCGCCA